rnacentral:rRNA from 1 species
AUUGAACGCUGGCGGCAGGCCUAACACAUGCAAGUCGAGCGACCGGCGGACGGGUGAGUCCUGUCUAUGAACCUGCUUGUUGGAGGUGGAUAACUGCUGGAAACGGUAGCUACUCCCGCGUCCCAUCAAACGUGCCCCGAUGGGAUUAGCUGGUAGGUGGGGUAACGGCUCACCUAGGCGACGAUCCGUAGCUGGUCUGAGAGGAUGACCAGCCACACUGGAACUGAGACACGGUCCAGACUCCUACGGGAGGCAGCAGUGGGGAAUAUUGGACAAUGGGCGAAAGCCUGAUGCAGCCAUGCCGCGUGUGUGAAGAAGGCCUUCGGGUUGUAAAGCACUUUCAGCUGGGAGGCGUUACCCGCAGAAGAAGCACCGGCUAACUCCGUGCCAGCAGCCGCGGUAAUUC